AUUGAACGCUGGCGGCAUGCCUUACACAUGCAAGUCGAACGGUAACAGGUUAAGCUGACGAGUGGCGAACGGGUGAGUAAUGUAUCGGAACGUGCCCAGUCGUGGGGGAUAACUGCUCGAAAGAGCAGCUAAUACCGCAUACGACCUGAGGGUGAAAGCGGGGGAUCGCAAGACCUCGCUCGAUUGGAGCGGCCGAUAUCGGAUUAGGUAGUUGGUGGGGUAAAGGCCUACCAAGCCUACGAUCUGUAGCUGGUCUGAGAGGACGACCAGCCACACUGGGACUGAGACACGGCCCAGACUCCUACGGGAGGCAGCAGUGGGGAAUUUUAGACAAUGGACGCAAGUCUGAUCCAGCCAUGCCGCGCGCGGGAAGAAGGCCUUCGGGUUGUAAACCGCUUUUGUCAGGGAAGAAUAGGUUCUGGUUAAUACCUGGGACUCAUGACGGUACCUGAAGAAUAAGCACCGGCUAACUACGUGCCAGCAGCCGCCGUAA
rnacentral:rRNA from 1 species